CAGCCGCCACGGUAAUACGGAGGGUGCAAGCGUUAAUCGGAAUUACUGGGCGUAAAGCGUGCGUAGGCGGUUCGUUAAGUCUGUUGUGAAAGCCCCGGGCUCAACCUGGGAAUGGCAAUGGAUACCGGCGAGCUAGAGUGUGUCAGAGGAUGGUGGAAUUCCCGGUGUAGCGGUGAAAUGCGUAGAGAUCGGGAGGAACAUCAGUGGCGAAGGCGGCCAUCUGGGACAACACUGACGCUGAGGCACGAAAGCGUGGGGAGCAAACAGGAUUAGAUACCCGGGUAGUCCCUGUCUCUUAUAC
rnacentral:rRNA from 1 species